rnacentral:rRNA from 1 species
CCUACGGGUGGCAGCAGUGAGGAAUAUUGGUCAAUGGGAGAGAGCCUGAACCAGCCAAGCCGCGUGAGGGAAGACGGCCCUAUGGGUUGUAAACCUCUUUUGUCCGAGGACAAAACCCGGGACGAGUCCCGGGCUGCGUGUAUCCGACGAAAAAGCAUCGGCUAACUCCGUGCCAGCAGCCGCGGUAAUACGGAGGAUGCGAGCGUUAUCCGGAUUUAUUGGGUUUAAAGGGUGCGUAGGCGGUCUGUUAAGUCAGCGGUAAAAUUGCGGGGCUCAACCCCGCCGAGCCGUUGAUACUGGCAGACUUGAGUUGACUAGCGGUACGCGGAAUGUGCGGUGUAGCGGUGAAAUGCAUAGAGAUCGCGCAGAACUCCGAUUGCGAAGGCAGCUUACCGGCGUCAGACUGACGCUGAGGCACGAAAGCGUGGGGAUCGAACAGGAUUAGAUACCCUUGUAGUC